AACACGCUCCUUAGAUCCACUCUUGGGACUUUGACAAGACCGACCUACAUAGCAGCACCGCAGUGUGGGCCCAGUAUUGUUUUGUCCAGCAACUUUGUUGGUUGUAUGUCGAGAGUGAUUGAGUCAUUGGCGUGUGACAGUAAUAUACCUUAGUCGAGGGUCCAACACAGACACACUGUCUGAAUUGGGCACUAUGUAGUGUGACUGUCUGACCCUUGGCUUGGACAUA